UUUAUUGAAUCUUUUUCAGUAGCUUUUAUAUUAAUAAUGUUGGUUUUCCAACUAUGACGAUAAACGAAUUUCGUAAUAACCAUUGCGGACGUGGGGGCAGUACCCACCACCUCCACCAUACAACUUAUGGGGGUGAACUAGAUUCGACGGGUGACUAAAGGCUAUUCUUUUGUUCGGGAUUGUUCCACCGUGACGGGCUAAUUUAUAAUUGCUAACGAAAGUUACGCACUUGCUGCCUAAUUAACUUUGUUAAUUAAGUAGACGGGGUCCGGGGCACCUGGCAACAGAACGCCCCUUAAU
rnacentral:tmRNA from 1 species